UACAGAGGUCUCAAGCGUUGUUCGGAUUCAUUGGGCGUAAAGGGUGCGUAGGCGGCGCGGUAAGUCGGGUGUGAAAUCUCGGAGCUUAACUCCGAAACUGCAUUCGAUACGGGCAGGCUCGAGUUCGGUAGGGGAGACUGGAAUUCCUGGUGUAGCGGUGAAAUGCGCAGAUAUCAGGAGGAACACCGGUGGCGAAGGCGGGUCUCUGGGCCGAUACUGACGCUGAGGAGCGAAAGCGUGGGGAGCGAACAGG
rnacentral:rRNA from 1 species